rnacentral:rRNA from 1 species
UACGUAGGGUCCGAGCGUUGUCCGGAAUUACUGGGCGUAAAGAGCUCGUAGGUGGUUUGUCGCGUUGUUCGUGAAAACUCACAGCUUAACUGUGGGCGUGCGGGCGAUACGGGCAGACUAGAGUACUGCAGGGGAGACUGGAAUUCCUGGUGUAGCGGUGGAAUGCGCAGAUAUCAGGAGGAACACCGGUGGCGAAGGCGGGGUCUCUGGGCAGUAACUGACGCUGAGGAGCGAAAGCGUGGGGGAGCGAACAGG